rnacentral:lncRNA from 1 species
CUCAUGACCCUGAGAUCAAGACCUGCUCUCAAGUCAAGAGUCAGAAACCUAACCAAGAAACGCUGAUAGGGCCGAUUAUGAAUGCUGCACUAUGGAGGGCGAACGCAGAUGGAAGCCAUCCUCUGUCUUCAAGGGCUCGGUGUGCUCCUUGGGAAGGCACAGACUUGGGUCCGGGGCACGUCCUCACUGGGGCCAGAGAACUCCGCCCGCACCUGCUGACCGUCUCGUGGGGAGUGCCUCCCCUCCUGCAGAGCCAGCGCCUGUCCUGGGCUCUGAGUGUGUCAUACGUGCGUCAUAGGGCACCUGGCCAACCUCACUGCUGCAUCUGUCCUCCUGGGGUGAGGCGACAGGGCCCCCUUGCUUUGGCAUGAAAAGGUACGUGCAGGUUUCUGCCCAACACCAGCAGUCAGGAGGGACCCAGGGCCACGGGGUCAGACACCCACCACUGAAGUGGAUCCUGUGAAGCCUCUUCUCUGGGGGGGGGGCACGGCAUCCCAGCCAAGAGGCCGCGGGCACAAGCACAUGGAGCUCCGCGCCUGGUGACCGGUCUCACCCUGGAGAGCCCUCGGUGGAGGGGCUGGCAUGAGUAGGGAAUGGAGGAAGGCCAGGAGCUAGAAUACAUCAGGUCAUGUCCAAGGAAGCCGUACAUCACUGGCGGCAGUUCGAGACUCCCAGCCCGGUUGUAGGGUACGUGGAAAUGCUUUUACUUCCCCUAUUCAGUAAGUUCCGGGUCCAUAAAUUCCCUGGCACUGUCGCUGGUAUGGAAAUGAGAAACUCUCGACCAGCAUAGUUGAUAUGCACUCAAGAUUCUGAAGUCUGAUCUGAAGCAUGGCACGAACAUCGUAAGCAUUCAACCUAUCUCCCCUGGAUCAUGAAUUUAGAUCAGGAACCUCGGUCCAUGGGAUGGAGUUGUCUGGAGGCUCAGAAGGAAGGAAGCUGGGCGGUUUGCUUCACACUCACCCAGAGCCCAAGGCGCCUCUAGAC